rnacentral:rRNA from 1 species
UUCGGGUGCUGACAAGUGGCGAACGGGUGAGUAAUACGUAGGAACUUGCCUUUCAGAGGGGGGUAGCCUGGGGAAACCCAGGGUAAUACCGCAUAUGCCUAAGGGUGAAAGCUGGGGAAACCUGGCGCUGAAAGAGAGGCCUACGUCAGAUUAGCUAGUUGGUGGGGUAAAGGCUUACCAAGGCGAAGAUCUGUAGCUGGUCUGAGAGGAUGAUCAGCCACACUGGGACUGAGACACGGCCCAGACUCC